rnacentral:rRNA from 1 species
AACAAACGCUGGCGGCGUGCAUAACACAUGCAAGUCUAACGGGAAAGUUGGCUUCGGCUGGCGAGUACCGUGGCGAACGGGUGAGUAACACGUGGGUAAUCAAACCUCGAGUUUGGGAUAACCUUGCGAAAGCGGGGCUAAUACCGGAUAAGACCACGCCAUGCACGCAUGGAGCGGUAAAAGGUGGCCUCUUCUUGAAAGCUAUCACUUGAGGAUGAGCCCGCGGCCUAUUAGCUAGUUGGUGGGGUAACGGCCCACCAAGGCGACGAUGGGUAGCCGGCCUGAGAGGGUGUACGGCCACACUGGCACUGAGACACGGGCCAGACUCCUACGGGAGGCAGCAGUGGGGAAUUUUGCGCAAUGGGGGAAACCCUGACGCAGCAACGCCGCGUGAGUGAUGAAGGCCUUCGGGUCGUAAAGCUCUUUUAGUGGGGAAGAAACCUUUAGGGUUAAUAUCCCUGGAGAAUGACGGUACCCACAGAAAAAGUUCCGGCUAACUACGUGCCAGCAGCCGCGGUAAUACGUAGGGAGCAAGCGUUGUUCGGAAUUAUUGGGCGUAAAGAGCGCGUAGGCGGUUCGGUAAGUCUGGCGUGAAAUCCCGGAGCUUAACUCCGGAACUGCGUCGGAUACUGCCGAGCUUGAGUGUGGGAGAGGUGAGUGGAAUUCCCAGUGUAAGGGUGAAAUUCGU